AUUGCACCUACCGAAGACUAUCAAACUCCGAAUGCCGUCAUCUUAUACUUGGGAGUCAGACUGUGGGUGAUAAGAUUCAUAGUCGAAAGGGCAACAGCCCAGAUCGUCAGCUAAGGUCCCUAAAUGUAAGAUAAGUGGUAAAGGAUGUGGGAUUGCACAGACAACCAGGAUGUUGGCUUAGAAGCAGCCACUCAUUCAAAGAGUGCGUAAUAGCUCACUGGUCGAGUGAUCCUGCGCCGAAGAUUUCCGGGGCUAAAACUUACUACCGAAGCUACGGCAUCAGUAAUGAUGGGUAGGGGAGCUUCCCAUACGGGUUGAAGCAUGACCGUAAGGACAUGUGGACAGUAUGGGAGUGAGAAUGUUGGCAUGAGUAGCGAGAUGUGGGUGAGAAUCCCACAGGCCGUAAACCCAAGGUUUCCAGGGGAAGGUUCGUCCGCCCUGGGUUAGUCGGGACCUAAGCUGAGGCCGAAAGGCGUAGGUGAUGGACAACAGGUUGAUAUUCCUGUACUACCGAUAACCGUUUGAGAGAAGGGAUGACACAGUAGGAUAAGCUAAGCACACUGUUGGUUAUGUGUGCCCAAGCAUUGAGGCAGUCAAAGUAGGCAAAUCCGCUUUGAUAAUGCUGGGAUGUGAUGGGGAGCGAAAUUUAGUAGCGAAGUAGCUGAUUUCACACUGUCAAGAAAAGUCUCUAUCGAGGUUAAAGGUACCCGUACCGCAAACCGACACAGGUGGGUGAGGAGAGUAUCCUAAGGCCAGCGAGAGAACUGUUGUUAAGGAACUCGGCAAAAUGACCCCGUAACUUAGGGAUAAGGGGUGCCACCAUCAGGUGGCCGCAGAGAAUAGGCCCAAGCGACUGUUUACCAAAAACAUAGGUUUCUGCUAAGUCGCAAGACGAUGUAUAGGAGCUGACGCCUGCCCGGUGCUGGAAGGUUAAGGGGAUCUGUUAGAGCAAUCGAAGCAGUGAACUUAAGCCCCAGUAAACGGCGGCCGUAACUAUAACGGUCCUAAGGUAGCGAAAUUCCUUGUCGGGUAAGUUCCGACCCGCACGAAAGGCGUAACGAUUUGGGCACUGUCUCAACAACAGACUCGGUGAAAUUGUAAUUCCGGUGAAGAUGCCGGAUACCUGCGACAGGACGGAAAGACCCCAUGGAGCUUUACUGUAGCUUGACAUUGGGUCUUGGUACUACAUGUACAGGAUAGGUGGGAGGCUUUGAAACCAGGACGCCAGUUUUGGCGGAGCCAUCCUUGGGAUACCACCCUUGUAGUACUGGGACUCUAACCAUAGGCCAUGAAUCUGGUCUUGGGACACUGUCAGGUGGGCAGUUUGACUGGGGCGGUCGCCUCCCAAAAGGUAACGGAGGCGCUCAAAGGUUCUCUCAGUACGGUCGGAAAUCGUACGUAGAGUGUAAAGGCAAAAGAGAGCUUGAUUGCAAGACAUACAGGUCGAGCAAGGAUGAAAAUCGGACUUAGUGAUCCGGUGGUUCUGCGUGGAAGGGCCAUCGCUCAACGGAUAAAAGCUACCCUGGGGAUAACAGGCUUAUCUCCCCCAAGAGUCCACAUCGACGGGGAGGUUUGGCACCUCGAUGUCGGCUCAUCACAUCCUGGGGCUGUAGUAGGUCCCAAGGGUUGGGCUGUUCGCCCAUUAAAGUGGUACGCGAGCUGGGUUCAGAACGUCGUGAGACAGUUCGGUCCCUAUCCGUCGCAGGCGUAGGAAAUUUGAGAAGACCUGUCCUUAGUACGAGAGGACCGGGAUGGACGUACCUCUGGUGUACCAGUUGUUCUGCCAAGGGCAUGGCUGGGUAGCUAUGUACGGAAUGGAUAAGCGCUGAAAGCAUCUAAGCGCGAAGCCAACUUCAAGAUAAGAUUUCCCACCGCAAGGGUAAGACCCCAGAAAGACUAUCUGGUUGAUAGGUCGAAGGUGUAAGUGCAGCAAUGUAUUUAGCUUAUCGAUACUAAUAGGUCGAGGACUUGACCAA
rnacentral:rRNA from 1 species